rnacentral:rRNA from 1 species
CGAACGUUAGCGGCGGGCCUAACACAUGCAAGUCGAACGAGAAAAUCCCUUCGGGGGUGAGUACAGUGGCGCACGGGUGAGGAACGCGUAGGUAAUCUACCCUUUGGCGGGGGACAACAUUCCGAAAGGAAUGCUAAUACCGCGUAAGACCACGUUCACUACGGUGAGAGUGGUAAAAGGUGCCUCAAAGCACCACCAAAGGAUGAGCCUGCGUCCCAUCAGCUUGUUGGUAAGGUAAUGGCUUACCAAGGCUAAGACGGGUAGCUGGUCUGAGAGGAUGAUCAGCCACACUGGCACUGGAACACGGGCCAGACUCCUACGGGAGGCAGCAGUGAGGAAUAUUGGGCAAUGGGCGAAAGCCUGACCCAGCCACGCCGCGUGUGUGAUGAAGGCCUUCGGGUCGUAAAGCACUGUGGGGAGAGACGAAACAGCGCGCCAGGAAAUGGGUGCGCCUUGACGGUACCUCCUUAGCAAGCACCGGCUAACUCU